AUAUUCUGUAAUCGCACAAUGUACUGUAAC
rnacentral:piRNA from 1 species